CAGUAGCCGCGGUAAUACGAAGGGGGCUAGCGUUGUUCGGAAUUACUGGGCGUAAAGGGCGCGUAGGCGGCCAUUCAAGUUAGAUGUGAAAGCCCUGGGCUCAACCUAGGAAUUGCAUUUGAUACUGUUUGGCUUGAGUUCGGGAGAGGUGAGUGGAAUUCCCAGUGUAGAGGUGAAAUUCGUAGAUAUUGGGAAGAACACCAGUGGCGAAGGCGGCUCACUGGACCGACACUGACGCUGAGGCGCGAAAGCGUGGGGAGCAAACAGGAUUAGAUACCCGUGUAGUCCCUGUCUCUUAUAC
rnacentral:rRNA from 1 species